rnacentral:rRNA from 1 species
UGGGGAAUAUUGGACAAUGGGGGCAACCCUGAUCCAGCAAUGCCGCGUGUGUGAAGAAGGCCUGCGGGUUGUAAAGCACUUUCGGUUGGGAGGAAAAGGUGGUGGCUAAUAUCUGCCAUUCUUGACGUUACCUUCAGAAGAAGCACCGGCUAACUCCGUG